rnacentral:pre_miRNA from 1 species
AUAAUACUCCCUCCGUCCCAAAAUUCUUGUCUUAGAUUUGUCCAAAUACGGAUGUAUCAAGUCACAUUUUAGUAUUAGAUACAUCUGUAUCUAGACAAAUCUAAGACAAGAAUUUUGGGACGGAGUGAGUACUUC